GACGAACGCUGGCGGCGUGCUUAACACAUGCAAGUCGAACGGAAAGGCCCUGCUUUUGUGGGGUGCUCGAGUGGCGAACGGGUGAGUAACACGUGAGUAACCUGCCCUUGACUUUGGGAUAACUUCAGGAAACUGGGGCUAAUACCGGAUAGGAGCUCCUGCUGCAUGGUGGGGGUUGGAAAGUUUCGGCGGUUGGGGCUGGACUCGCGGCUUAUCAGCUUGUUGGUGGGGUAGUGGCUUACCAAGGCUUUGACGGGUAGCCGGCCUGAGAGGGUGACCGGCCACAUUGGGACUGAGAUACGGCCCAGACUCCUACGGGAGGCAGCAGUGCGGAAUAUUGCACAGUGGGCGGAAGCCUGAUGCAGCACCGCAGCGUGCGGGAUGACGGCCUUCGGGUUGUAAACCGCUUUCGCCUGUGACGAAGCGUGAGUGACGGUACUGGGUAAAGAAGCACCGGCUAACUACGUG
rnacentral:rRNA from 1 species